rnacentral:rRNA from 1 species
CCCGAAUUCGGACGUACAUGAAGAACCCAAAAGAUCGAAUGGGGAGAUUCAUCGUCAGCGGGGUCGAUUCCCGUGCGAUUUGCGAUGGCCGGUGCUUCGGUGCCGGUUCACGCUGUCGCUGCGGUAUAAUCGGCAACGUCGGCGUGCACUUCUCCCCUAGUAGGACGUCGCGACCCGUUGGGUGCCGGCCUACGGCCCGGUUGGUCGACUGUCGCGUCGCGUUCACGCGUGCUCGCGGCAGACCACUGGUCGCCCGGCCGGCUGCUCGGCGGUAUGGAUCGUAAUUGAACGGUAUUGGGCCGCAUUAUGUGCGUCCUGGCUCGUCGGCAGGCUCGCCUCGCUCGGAUUUACGGACCUAGUGCCGUUGCCGGGCGCUUGGCGCGGCUGUUAGUCGACGAUGUCCUCGGACUGGCUCUGACAUUCGUAAGGAUGUACCGGUCGGCGACGCUGCUGCUUUGGGUACUUUCAGGACCCGUCUGGAACCCGGGACAAAAA